rnacentral:lncRNA from 1 species
CCACCAUCCUGGGAAGACCAACAGUCACGUCAUGGGUGAGCACACCGACAGGCACUUCUCCUUCUCUGCAAUAUGUAACGCCACAUCCAUCUUCUCAUGGCUGCGUGACCUUCUACAAGAAGAUGGGCCAGGUGGCCUUCCCUCAGGCAUGGGAUCAUCCAUUUCUCAGUGAUUUGCUAUUGCCCCAUAAAUUGCCACAUCCUAUUCAUACUUAGCCUCCAAAACAUACCACAAGCAGGACAGUAGCUUUAGCUGUCGUUAAUGUUCUUCAAAUAGGAAUGUGCAGUAAUAAAAC